GCCUCUAGCGCAGGCGCAUAGAGUGCUCCAAUAUGGCCGCCUCCGUGGAUCUGGAGUUGAAGAAGGCCUUCACAGAACUUCAAGCCAAAGUCAUUGAUACUCAACAGAAGGUGAAGCUUGCAGACAUACAGAUUGAACAGCUGAACAGAACGAAAAAGCACGCACACCUCACGGACACAGAGAUCAUGACGCUGGUAGAUGAGACUAACAUGUAUGAAGGCGUAGGGAGAAUGUUUAUUCUACAGUCCAAGGAAGUAAUUCAUAACCAGCUGUUAGAAAAACAGAAAAUAGCAGAAGAAAAAAUUAAAGAGCUAGAGGAGCAGCGUCCAUCGGCUUCUCCACAGGAAACCACACUGUGUCUGCUUACUGAACAAGUGAUGAGCUCCUGUCCUUCAGCACAGCAGCUUCCAAAGGUGGUCCUGACAUAGCUUCUAGAAGAUGCAGAUACUGUACCCGGUCGCUUGCUUGCCCUGAGCUUGUACUUCUGCAGUCACCCUUGGUCCUGGCAUCUUCAGUGGGAGUCACAGAUGCAGAAAAAGUCCUACCUGGAGCGGAGCGUUAAGGAAGCUGAGGACAACAUCCGCGAGAUGCUGAUGGCUCGGAGGGCACAGUAGGAGCUGCUGGGAAACUACUUCCCUUCUGAUCCCUCCCACGCUGUCAAGGCAGGGGCUGUGCAGGGUGCUGCCCUCCCUCUGCCCAGCGGCCCCCUCUCUCCAUCACCGAACCCCUCAGGUUCCAACCGAAUGUCUGCCAACCCCUGUCCAUGACACUCUUCUUUCCUGGGGCAAACCAGGAGCUCUCAACAAAGGGAAGACUGGAGGGCAGACGGAGAAAGCUGUCCAGUUGGGCCUGUCACUAGGCAUGUGGGUUAGACCAGGUUAGACCAAUAAAAAGCUAUGUCUUACUCUAUAA